AGAUCGUGCACGUGCACACGGUGCACAAGGACAGGGGCUGGUGCAAACGGUGCCGGACCGAGUUUCCCGAUCAACGGUCCCACCUGGAGCACCGCGCCCGGUGUCGGCGGACCAACGGUCAGGUCGGGUCACUGACCUAAGACGUAACAAGUGAACCUCUGCACGGUCCUAAAAUGUCGCCACUUCACAACGCCCCCAGUGUCCUCGGUGCCGGCCGCUGCCGCCGCGCCGUUCGUGCGUCAUCCGACCCCACCGACCGCCGCCGCCGCCGCCUCGGCGCUCCAUGGAUACGCGCCGUGUUACCACGACCCGCUGAUGGCUAACCCGGUGGUAACCACGCAUCUACAGG